rnacentral:rRNA from 1 species
UACAGAGGAUGCAAGCGUUAUCCGGAAUGAUUGGGCGUAAAGCGUCUGUAGGUGGCUUUUUAAGUCCGCCGUCAAAUCCCAGGGCUCAACUCUGGACAGGCGGUGGAAACUACCAAGCUGGAGUACGGUAGGGGCAGAGGGAAUUUCCGGUGGAGCGGUGAAAUGCGUAGAUAUCGAGAGGAACACCUGCGGCGAAGGCGGGUUGCUGGGCUGACACUGACGCUGAUGCGCGAAAGCUAGGGGAGCGAACGGG